AGUCGAGCGGUAGAGGGAAGCUUGCUUCUCUUGAGAGCGGCGGACGGGUGAGUAAUGCCUAGGAAUCUGCCUGGUAGUGGGGGAUAACGUUCGGAAACGGACGCUAAUACCGCAUACGUCCUACGGGAGAAAGCAGGGGACCUUCGGGCCUUGCGCUAUCAGAUGAGCCUAGGUCGGAUUAGCUAGUUGGUGGGGUAAUGGCUCACCAAGGCGACGAUCCGUAACUGGUCUGAGAGGAUGAUCAGUCACACUGGAACUGAGACACGGUCCAGACUCCUACGGGAGGCAGCAGUGGGGAAUAUUGGACAAUGGGCGAAAGCCUGAUCCAGCCAUGCCGCGUGUGUGAAGAAGGUCUUCGGAUUGUAAAGCACUUUAAGUUGGGAGGAAGGGCUGUUACCUAAUACGUGAUGGUUUUGACGUUACCGACAGAAUAAGCACCGGCUAACUCUGUGCCAGCAGCCGCGGUAAUACAGAGGGUGCAAGCGUUAAUCGGAAUUACUGGGCGUAAAGCGCGCGUAGGUGGUUUGUUAAGUUGGAUGUGAAAUCCCCGGGCUCAACCCGGGAACUGCAUUCAAAACUGACUGACUAGAGUAUGGUAGAGGGUGGUGGAAUUUCCUGUGUAGCGGUGAAAUGCGUAGAUAUAGGAAGGAACACCAGUGGCGAAGGCGACCACCUGGACUGAUACUGACACUGAGGUGCGAAAGCGUGGGGAGCAAACAGGAUUAGAUACCCUGGUAGUCCACGCCGUAAACGAUGUCAACUAGCCGUUGGGAGCCUUGAGCUCUUAGUGGCGCAGCUAACGCAUUAAGUUGACCGCCUG
rnacentral:rRNA from 1 species